rnacentral:rRNA from 1 species
CCUACGGUCUCAGCAGUGGGGAAUAUUGGACAAUGGGCGAAAGCCUGAUCCAGCCAUGCCGCGUGUGUGAAGAAGGCCUUCGGGUUGUAAAGCACUUUCAGUGGGGAAGAAAGCCUUGGGGCUAAUACCCUCGAGGAAGGACAUCACCCACAGAAGAAGCACCGGCUAACUCCGUGCCAGCAGCCGCGGUAAUACGGAGGGUGCGAGCGUUAAUCGGAAUUACUGGGCGUAAAGCGCGCGUAGGCGGUCUGAUAAGCCGGUUGUGAAAGCCCCGGGCUCAACCUGGGAACGGCAUCCGGAACUGUCAGGCUAGAGUGCAGGAGAGGAAGGUAGAAUUCCCGGUGUAGCGGUGAAAUGCGUAGAGAUCGGGAGGAAUACCAGUGGCGAAGGCGGCCUUCUGGACUGACACUGACGCUGAGGUGCGAAAGCGUGGGUAGCAAACAGGAUUAGAUACCCUGGUAGUC